GGGGGGUUAGGGGUUAUGGGGCUAUAGGGCGGGGUUAGGGGGUGGGGGGUUUGUGGGGUGGGGGGGUUGGGGGGGUUAUGGGGCUAUAGGGUGGGGUUAUGGGGUGGGGGGGUUAUGGGGGUGGGUUGUGGGGGGGGUUAUGGGGCUAUAGGGUAGGGUUAUGGGGUGUUAUGGGGUGCUAUGGGGUGGUUAUGGAGUGGUUAUGGGGUGCUAUGGGGUGGCUAUGGGGGGGUUAUGGGGUUAUGGGGUGGAUAUGUGGUGGCGAUGGGGUGGAUAUGGGGUUCUGAUGGGGUUAUGGGGUGGCUAUGGGGGGGUUAUAGGGUGGUUAUGGGGUGGUGAUGGGGUUAUGGGGUGGUUAUGGGGUGAUGGAGCGGGGUUAUGGGGCUAUAGGGUGGGAUUAUGGGGUUAUGGGUGGGGUUAUGGGGUGGUUAUGGCGUGGUUAUGGGGUGAUGGAGUGGAGUUAUGGGGCUAUAGGGUGGGGUUAUGGGGUUAUGGGGUUAUGGGGUGGCUAUAGGGGCGGUGAUGGGGUGGUGAUGGGUUGAUGGAAUGGGGUUAUGGGGCUAUAGGGUGGGGUUAUGGGGUGGUUAUGGGGUGAUGGAGUGGGGUUAUGGGGUUGUGGGGUGGUUAUGGGGCUGCUUAUGGGGUUGUGGGGCUGAGUUGUGCAGCAGAGCCUCCCAGGGCCAUCUGUGGGGCAGAUCUAUGGGGCAGAGCCCCCUCAGUGCCAUCUAUGGGGCAGAUCUAUGGGGCAGAGCCCCCCCAGUGAAAUCUAUGGGGCAGAUCUAUGGGGCAGAGCCAUACCUGUGCCAUCUAUGGGGCAGAGCCCCCCCAGUGCCAUCUAUGGGGCAGAGCCAUCCCAGUUACCAUCUAUUGCACUCAUCUAUGGGACAGAUCUAUGGGGCAGAGCCAUACCUGUGCCAUCCAUGGGACGGAUCUAUGGGGCAGAUCUAUGGGGCCGAUCUAUAGGGCAGAGCCCCCCCCAGUGCCAUCUAUGGGGCAGAUCUAUGGGGCCGAUCUAUGGGGCAAAGCCAUACCUGUGCCAUCCAUGGGACGGAUCUAUGGGGCAGAUCUAUAGGGCAGACCCCCCCCCCAGUGCCAUCUAUGGGGCAGAUCUAUGGGGCAGAGCCAUACCUGUGCCAUCUAUGGGGCAGAGCCCCCCCCAGUGCCACCUAUGGGGCAGAGCCAUACCUGUGCCAUCUCUCGUGCUGAUCUAUGGGGCAGAUCUAUGGGGCAGCCCCUCCCAGUGCCCCCCCCCCCCCCCCCCCCCCCCGGUUCCCAUCUAUGGGGCGGCGCUGUGGGGCCCCAUGGGGUGGGCGGAAGUUCCCCCCCCCCCCCCCCCGCCCCCCCGCCCCACAACAGCUGUGGGGCAGCGCAGGUGGAGGAGCCCCAAAUAGCAGCAAAGAAUCCGUGGGGCGGAAAUUGGGGGGGGGGGGGGAUGGAAGGGGACACCUAUGGGGCAUUCCGGCCCCACACAUCGGCCCCAGCCCCAUAGAUCGGCCCCAUAGCAGGUCCCAGCCCCAUAGAUUGGCCCCAUAGUGGGUUCCAGCCCCAUAGAUUGGCCCCAUAGUGGGUCCUGGCCCCAUAGAUUGGCCCCAUAGUGGGUCCUGGCCCCAUAGAUUGGUCUCAUAGACUGUCCCAGCCCCAUAGAUUGGCUCCAGCCCCAUAGAUCAGCCCCAUAGACAUUUUCAGCCCCAUAGAUCGGCCCCAUAGCGGGUCCUGGCCCCAUAGAUUGGCUCCUGCCCCAUAGGUUGCCUCCAGCCCCAUAGAUCGGCCCCAUAUCGGGUUCCAGCCCCAUAGAUUGGCUCCAGCCCCAUAGAUCGGGCUAUGGGGCAAAGCUAUGGGGCAGAGCUGUGAGGUGCUAUGGGGCAGAUAUGGCGCUAUGGGGCGCUAUGGGGCAGCUAUGGGGCAGAAAUGUGCGGCAAUGGGAAUGGAUGGAGGAUGAAUGGGGGCUAUGGGGCGCUAUGGGGCGCUAUAGGGUGACUAUAGGGCAUCUAUGGGGCAGAGCUAUGGGGCUCUAUGGGGCUCUAUGGGGCAGAGAUGGUGUUAUGGGGUGCAGAGAUGGAGGACAGUGGGAAUGGAUGGAGAAUGAAUGGGGGUUAUGGGGUUAUGGGGCGCUAUGGGGCGCUAUAGGGCAGCUAUGGGGCAUCAAUGGGGCAGAGCUAUGGGGCAGAGGUAUGGGGCUCUAUGGGGCAGAUAUGGAGCUCUAUGGGGCAGAGACGUGGGCUGAUAUGAGGCAAUGGGAAUGGAUAGAGGACGAAUGGGGUCUUUGGGGUUAUGGGGCGCUAUGGGGCGCUAUAGGGCGCUAUGGGCAUCUAUGGGGCAGAUCUAUGGGACUCUAUGGGGCUCUAUAGGGCUCUAUUGGGCAGAGAUGGAGGGCAAUGGGAAUGGAUGGAGGAUGAAUGGGGUCUAUGGGGUUAUGGGGCGCUAUGGGGCGCUAUGGGGCGGCUAUGGGGCAUCUAUGGGGCAGAUCUAUGGGGCUCUAUAGGGCAGAGAUGGCGUUAUGGGGUGCAGAGGUGGAGGGCAGUGGGAAUGGAUGGAGGAUGAAUGGGGGCUAUGGGGUUAUGGGGCGCUAUAGGGCAGCUAUGGGGCAUCUAUGGGGCAGAGCUAUGGGGCGCUAUGGGGCUCUAUGGGGCAGAGAUGGGGCUCUAUGGGGCAGAGAUGGAAGGCAAUAGGAAUGGAUGGAGAAUGAAUGGGGGCUAUGGGGAUAUGGGGCGCUAUGGGGCGGCUAUGGGGCAUCUAUGGGGCAGAGCUAUGGGGCGAUAUGGGGCUCAAUGGGGCAGAGAUGGAAGGCAAUGGGAAUGGAUGGAGGAUGAAUGGGGUCUUUGGGGUUAUGGGGCGCUAUGGGGCGCUAUAGGGCGGCUAUGGGGCAUCUAUGGGGCAGAGCUAUGGGGCGCUAUGGGGCUCUAUGGGGCAGAUAUGGAGCUCUAUGGGGCAGAGAUGGAGGGCAAUGGGAAUGGAUGGAGGAUGAAUGGGGUCUAUGGGGCGCUAUGGGGCGCUAUGGGGCGCUAUAGGGCAGCUAUGGGGCAUCUAUGGGGCAGAGCUAUGGGGCGGAUCUAUGGGGCCGCCCCGUCCUCACCUCCGUGGCUGCGCCUUUGGCCGCUGCGGUGGCUGCAAAACGGCGUCACGGUGGGGGGGGGGGGG
ensembl:lncRNA